rnacentral:rRNA from 1 species
CCUACGGGAGGCUGCAGUAGGGAAUCUUCCACAAUGGACGAAAGUCUGAUGGAGCAACGCCGCGUGAGUGAAGAAGGCUUUCGGCUCGUAAAGCUCUGUUGGUAGUGAAGAAAGAUAGAGGUAGUAACUGGCCUUUAUUUGACGGUAAUUACUUAGAAAGUCACGGCUAACUACGUGCCAGCAGCCGCGGUAAUACGGAGGUGGCAAGCGUUGUCCGGAUUUACUGGGCGUAAAGCGAGUGCAGGCGGGUCAAUAAGUCAGAUGUGAAAGCCUUGGGCUCAACCCGAGAAUUGCAUCUGAAACUGUUGAACUUGAGUGUAGUAGAGGAGGGUGGAAUUCCAUGUGUAGCGGUGGAAUGCGUAGAGAUAUGGAAGAAAACCAGUGGCGAAGGCGGCUCCCUGGACUACAACUGACGCUGAGGUGCGAAAGCAUGGGGAGCGAACAGGAUUAGAUACCCUUGUAGUC